UUUUAAUAUUGAUAAUUAUUAUUAAAUCUCUCUCUCUCUCUCCCCCUCCCCCCUCAAUCUAUUCUCUCUCUCUCUCUCUCUCUCUCUCUCUCUCUCCUUCCACCCUCUCUAGUCUCUCUCUCAAAACCCUAGUCCAACACCGAGCACCGAAACAACCAUGAAAGGUGGCAAAAUCGGCGCCAAAAUCCCCAAUCUAAAUUGAAGGAAGAUGAAAAAUGGUGGUUAUUGCUAUUAUUUGCAAGGGUCGGAGAUGGGAUUUGCUACUAUUGCUAUUAGCCACGGUGGUCGAGAUGACGAUCUUGCAAAGUACCUCAGAAAACUCACACGGCAUGUGGUCAUAACACUAAUGGCUGCAGUCAUGGGAUGAUUGAUUUUUGGUUAUGAUAGUGGUAUAAUGGGUAUAUGAUUUUUCCUUUUAUAUAUUUCUUUUAAUUUUAUUUUUUUUCAUUACAUAAUAUGAUUGCUUGAAUCUGUAAUAAUUUUUCAUGCUUUUAUUUAUGCGAGAAUGUUUGGUCCAUGAAUAAAAUUCCACUAUCCUUAGCUGAUUUUUCUGUCCACAUCAACACAGAGCCAAAUUUAAAUUCGAGACCAUAUUGAACAUUCAGCUUCUGCUUCUCCAAAUCCAAAUCAAGGUUAGGCACUAGUCAGGGAGUAAAAGUGUGCAACUAUAUCUUGCAAAUGAGAGCUCCAUCAUUCAACUCCUUAUAGUGAAGAUUCUCAUAAACAAUUUUGGAGAGAGGGAGAGAGAGAGUGAGGGUGGGUAUGGUUGAUUGGAGAAUUUUUAUAAACAGAUAUCCAUCGGAUUGGGGGUAGGAAUGGUAGAUUGGAAUAUUUUGUGCAGAGAGAGAAUUUGUGUUGUUAUUGUUAUUUAUCUUAUAAAUAUAUGUAAUAUAUUAUUGUCAUUUAUCACCUGAUUUUUCAAAUCUUUUUCUAAGUUUGUUAAAUGUGAAAUUGUAUAGUUAAAGUGUAGUAGUUAUAUAUUUUUCCUUUUCUCUUUCCAUAAUUUUCAUUUUUCCCAAAUUGUAGGUUUUUAUUUCACUGAGGAAAGACGUGUUUCGUGGUGAAGAGUAAUGAUAUGUAGCCACACUGUUCAAUUGGCGCUAAAUAAUAGGCUAAAUGGAAGGUGGAAUUAAAUUAGGGAUAAAUAGGAUUAUGAAAUGAAUGAUUUGGUAAGGGAGCUAUUAUUUGGAGUGAUUUUAACUGCUAGCUCAUCUUUCCCUCAUCCACAUAGCCGUUUCUUCUGACAUGUUUGCAAAGCAAACAGGAAACCGACCAGGCGGCAAUGGCAUGAAGAUCCAAGACCAUCCUCGAAUCUGGGUGCUUUUCGAAGUUGAAAAUUAAUUUCUGCUUUCAACUCCCCUCCCCUCGAGAGAGAGAGAGAGAGAGGGGGGGAGGGGGGGGGAAGAGAAAAUGUGGAAGAAAACUGACAGAAGAUGCAACAGAAGACAAUUGAUUUUCUUCCAUGUCUCCAAUUCUGCUUCAAAAGUAUAAUUCAUGUUUUUUAAUAGGGUUUAACUCCACCCCCCCUCCCCCUCUUUUUUUCUUCUUUAUCUUCCCCUUGUUUGGGGGAAAAAAAAGUUUCAGAAACUCUUUUCAUCAUACUGAUAUUUCCAGAAUGGGUUGAAAUGAUGAGAAGAAUGAGUAAUAUUGAGAUGAUGAGUACACCACAAUACAGAAUACUCACAUGCAGGGGCAUGGG
rnacentral:lncRNA from 1 species